UCUUGUGGAACGACGUCGUUUCUUUGAAGAAGAAGAAGAUGGAGCACACAAGUAUGAACUCCGGCGAGUUUCCGGUAUGCUAAUUAGUGAAAAGAAUAUAAAAAUUCUUUCUUUCUUCUUCAAGAAACAAACACGCACACAUGUGUGGUGUUCGGUGGGUCGUUCAAAGAUCAAGAAACGAUUCUCCAGAGUUGUUCGUCGUUCUUUCCGUCACACAUAUUCAUCGAGUUGUUCAUCUCUCAAAUUUUACGGUUCACCGAGCUGAUGUCGCACAGAUUCACCGAUGUUUCAGGUUGGUUUCCUUGCUCCAUUCACAUAAGUUUCAAAGGUUAAAGACACAUUUGGUGUGUACAUUUCAAAAAGGUUGAAAGAAGCUUAAGAAGGUGCAUUUCAAAGAAAGAAGCUAAGAAGGUGACAAUACUUUUGAAGGAAUGCCAAGACAUCCAAGUUCAUUUUAACCUUCAAGGACAUCAAUGGACUAGUUGAGCAGAAUGUCCAACUCAGAAAUCAGGAGGUGGAAUUUAAGUGUUCAGGUUCGACGGUGAUUUGGAAACUGAAAUCUCAUGGAACUGUUAGUGGAAGACUGUAACUGAAGUUAAAAGCAUCCUGGUGGGUAAGGGGAAGGUUGAUGGUUCAGGUGUUGGUGUUAAUGUGGCUUCAUGCCAAAUUAUAGCAACUUUCUAUCCAAAAAAAUGAAAAGUCAGAUCAAGAGGUUGGGUUAAUAGGUUUGCGAAUGCUGGUGAUACUGCGACGGAAGUUUCUGGGAAUACAGCAUUACAGGGUGACCCAAAAAUGCUGGAUGAUGCCUAAAUGUGAAAGCUAGUUGUUGACCCUAGUCCCUAAAUGCUAUUAUCUAUUGUGCUUUGAUGGAUCCUUAGUCCCUAAAUGCAAUUUUGCAAUCACAAUACGAAGUGAUUUUGCAAAUACAAAAGAAAGUGUUUCCCUGUGUUUGAUUGGCCCACUGAUAAGGGUUUCAAAGGAAUUCUCUAAGGAAGAAACAAAUUAACUGA